rnacentral:rRNA from 1 species
UGGGGAAUAUUGGACAAUGGGCGAAAGCCUGAUCCAGCCAUGCCGCGUGUGUGAAGAAGGUCUUCGGAUUGUAAAGCACUUUAAGUUGGGAGGAAGGGCAGUAAGCGAUUACCUUGCUGUUUUGACGUUACCGACAGAAUAAGCACCGGCUAACUCUGUGCCAGCAGCCGCGGUAAUACAGAGGGUGCAAGCGUUAAUCGGAAUUACUGGGCGUAAAGCGCGCGUAGGUGGUUCGUUAAGUUGAAUGUGAAAGCCCCGGGCUCAACCUGGGAACUGCAUCCAAAACUGGCGAGCUAGAGUAGGGCAGAGGGUGGUGGAAUUUCCUGUGUAGCGGUGAAAUGCGUAGAUAUAGGAAGGAACACCAGUGGCGAAGGCGACCACCUGGGCUCAUACUGACACUGAGGUGCGAAAGCGUGGGGAGCAAACAGG